GACGAACGCUGGCGGCGUGCUUAACACAUGCAAGUCGAACGGAAAGGCCCUGCUUUUGUGGGGUGCUCGAGUGGCGAACGGGUGAGUAACACGUGAGUAACCUGCCCUUGACUUUGGGAUAACUUCAGGAAACUGGGGCUAAUACCGGAUAGGAGCUCCUGCUGCAUGGUGGGGGUUGGAAAGUUUCGGCGGUUGGGGAUGGACUCGCGGCUUAUCAGCUUGUUGGUGGGGUAGUGGCUUACCAAGGCUUUGACGGGUAGCCGGCCUGAGAGGGUGACCGGCCACAUUGGGACUAAGAGACGGACCAGAAUCCUACGGGAGGCAGUAGUGGGGAAUAUUGCACAAUGGGCGGAAGCCUGAUGCAACAACGCCGGGUGCGGGAUGACGGCCUUCGGGUUGUAAACCGCUUUCGCCUGUGACGAAGCGUGAGUGACGGUAAUGGGUAAAGAAGCACCGGCUAACUACGUG
rnacentral:rRNA from 1 species